CCUACGGGCGGCAGCAGUGGGGAAUAUUGGGCAAUGGGCGCAAGCCUGACCCAGCAACGCCGCGUGAAUGAAGAAGGUCUUCGGAUUGUAAAGUUCUUUAAUUGGGGACGAAAAAAAUGACGGUACCCAAGGAAUAAGCCCCGGCUAACUACGUGCCAGCAGCCGCGGUAAUACGUAGGGGGCAAGCGUUGUUCGGAAUGACUGGGCGUAAAGGGUGUGUAGGCGGGGUAGCAAGUUAGAAGUGAAAUACCUAGAGCUUAACUCAGGUGCUGCUUCUAAAACUGCUAUACUUGAGUGCAGUAGAGGAAAGUGGAAUUCGUAGUGUAGCGGUGGAAUGCGUAGAUAUUAGGCGGAACAUCGGUGGCGAAGGCGACAUUCUGGACUGUAACUGACGCUGAGGCACGAAAGUGUGGGGAGCAAACAGGAUUAGAUACCCUUGUAGUC
rnacentral:rRNA from 1 species